AUUGAACGCUGGCGGCAGGCCUAACACAUGCAAGUCGAGCGGAGCGGCGGACGGGUGAGUAAUGCAUAGGAAUCUGACUGGUAGUGGGGGAUAAGGUCAGGAAACGGGCGCUAAUACCGCAUACUAACAGAUGAGCCUAGGUCGGAUUAGAUAGUUGGUGGGGUAAAGGCCUACCAAGGCGACGAUCCGUAACUGGUCUGAGAGGAUGAGCAGUCACACGGGACCUGAGACCCGGUCCAGACUCCUACGGUAGGCAGCAGUGGGGAAUAUUGGCCAAGGGGCGAAAGCCUGAUCCAGCCAUGCCGCGUGUGUGAAGAAGGUCUUCGGAUUGUAAAGCACUUUAAGUUGGGAGGCGGUACCAAAAGAAUAAGCACCGGCUAACUUCGUGCCAGCAGCCGCGGUAAUAG
rnacentral:rRNA from 1 species